AACACCUGCAGAUCUUGUUAAAAUGCAGAUUCUGAAUCACUAAGUCUCCAUGGGACCCGUGAUUCUGCAUUUCUAACAAGUUCCCAGGUGGUGCUCA
rnacentral:pre_miRNA from 1 species